AGCAGGUAUAUGUACACGGUAUGCUGGUGAUCCGACAAAGAAGCGCGGUAUCAAAGAGUGACAUCGGUGGAUGGGAUGAGGAAAGAAGGAAGCGCGAGGAGAGGAGGAGGAGGGAAGCAGAAAGAAAGAGAGAGAGAGAGAGGAAUAGGAGUUGUUGGAGGAUAAAGACCACGUGCUCAGCCACGUGGUGACCGAGCCCCACCCUUCGACUGCUCGCACCCUCUCAACUCACCCCCACGAGCCCCUCUCACGGCCACCCACCACUCCACCUCUGUCAGAGGAGACUCGCGCGCGUAAAGCCGCGCCGACGCCAGCUGACCACGCAGUGGACCAUCCGCGUACCGACGCCAAUAAAAUCUCUGCGUUACUCUCCCGCCUCACUCCCACCCCCUCGACAACCUGCCACGCCACACGCCCGCUUGGAAAGCCUUUCUUCCUUUUCCUUGUUUUUGCCGCUGCUCUCGCCACGUGGGCAGGCCAGUUGGCCGGCCGGCCACACGACACGUGACUACUAGCCCGUGCCACCCCAUCAGCUGACCGCUAUCUACCUGUUUGCCCGACUUCUUCUCUCUUCCUCCUUCUUCUUUUUCUUUCUUUUUCUUCUUUUUUUUCUUUUUUUAUUUUGUCGUUUUUCUUUCUUUUCUGUCUUCCGGCUAUUACCACCGAUCGAAAGGGAAUGAUUAUCGUUGGGAUUUGGUGCAGUGAUGAGGAUGUGAGAGUAGAAUUUUUUUUUUUUUAAAGUAAAGAGACGAUGAGUGUGUCAAUAGAUUAAUUGUGCUGUGCGAAAUAGGAAUAGAGGGUGUACUUGUCACACGGAGCUAACAGAUUAACGUUAUACGUUAUAUGAAGAAAUGGAAUGAGUUUUUAUAUUACGAUAAGUGAUUAAUUGAUUAAAAAUUUUCUGUUUAUAUACUUGCUAUUAUAUCAUUUCUUGUAUAAGAUUUUUCUAAUGACAUAUAUGAUGAAAUAUAAUUAUAAAAUAAUACAAACAUAA